rnacentral:rRNA from 1 species
UCGUGGAUUGAUUUGUCUGGUUAAUUCCGAUAACGAACGAGACCUUAAUCUGCUAAUUAGUUGGGCAAAUCUUUUGAUUUGUUUUUCCAACUUCUUAGAGAGACAGCUGGCGUUUAGCCAGAGGAAGUUUGAGGCAAUAACA